rnacentral:rRNA from 1 species
GACGAACCGUGCGAACGUUGUUCGGAAUCACUGGGCUUAAAGGGCGCGUAGGCGGGUUUCUCAGUCUGUGGUGAAAGCCUCCAGCUUAACUGGAGAAGUGCCGUGGAUACUGGAGACCUCGAGGAGGGUAGGGGCGUCUGGAACUGCCGGUGGAGCGGUGAAAUGCGUUGAUAUCGGCAGGAACUCCGGUGGCGAAGGCGGGACGCUGGACCCUCUCUGACGCUGAGGCGCGAAAGCCAGGGGAGCAAACGGG